UACGUAGGGUGCAAGCGUUGUCCGGAAUUAUUGGGCGUAAAGAGCUCGUAGGCGGUUUGUCGCGUCUGCUGUGAAAAUCCAAGGCUCAACCUUGGACCUGCAGUGGGUACGGGCAGACUAGAGUGCGGUAGGGGAGAUGGGAAUUCCUGGUGUAGCGGUGGAAUGCGCAGAUAUCAGGAGGAACACCAAUGGCGAAGGCAGGACUCUGGGCCAUUACUGACACUGAGGAGCGAAAGCGUGGGGGAGCGAACAGG
rnacentral:rRNA from 1 species